AUUGAACGCUGGCGGCAGGCCUAACACAUGCAAGUCGAGCGAGCGGCGGAAGGGUGAGUAAUGUAUGGGGAUCUGCCCGAUAGAGGGGGAUAACUACUGGAAACGGUGGCUAAUACCGAGUACCAUAGGAUGAGCACAAGUGGGAUUAGGUAGUUGGUUAGGUAAAGGAUCACCAAGCCGACGAUAUCUAGCUGGGCUGAGAGGAGGACCAGCCACCCUAGGGUUGAGACACGGACCAGACUCCAACGGUAGGGAGCAGAGGAGAAUAUUGCGCAACGGGGGCAGCCUGACGCGGCCGUGCCGCGUGAAUGGAGAAGGCCUUCGGGUUGUAAAGUUCUUUCGGUAGCGAGGCGUUAACUACAGAAGAAGCACCGGCUAACUCCGUGCCAGCCGCCGCGGUAAUAC
rnacentral:rRNA from 1 species